AUGAACGCUAGCUACAGGCUUAACACAUGCAAGUCGAGGGGCAGCAUGGUCUUAGCUUGCUAAGGCCGAUGGCGACCGGCGCACGGGUGAGUAACACGUAUCCAACCUGCCGUCUACUCUUGGACAGCCUUCUGAAAGGAAGAUUAAUACAAGAUGGCAUCAUGAGUCCGCAUGUUCACAUGAUUAAAGGUAUUCCGGUAGACGAUGGGGAUGCGUUCCAUUAGAUAGUAGGCGGGGUAACGGCCCACCUAGUCUUCGAUGGAUAGGGGUUCUGAGAGGAAGGUCCCCCACAUUGGAACUGAGACACGGUCCAAACUCCUACGGGAGGCAGCAGUGAGGAAUAUUGGUCAAUGGGCGAGAGCCUGAACCAGCCAAGUAGCGUGAAGGAUGACUGCCCUAUGGGUUGUAAACUUCUUUUAUAAAGGAAUAAAGUCGGGUAUGCAUACCCGUUUGCAUGUACUUUAUGAAUAAGGAUCGGCUAACUCCGUGCCAGCAGCCGCGGUAAUACGGAGGAUCCGAGCGUUAUCCGGAUUUAUUGGGUUUAAAGGGAGCGUAGAUGGAUGUUUAAGUCAGUUGUGAAAGUUUGCGGCUCAACCGUAAAAUUGCAGUUGAUACUGGAUAUCUUGAGUGCAGUUGAGGCAGGCGGAAUUCGUGGUGUAGCGGUGAAAUGCUUAGAUAUCACGAAGAACUCCGAUUGCGAAGGCAGCCUGCUAAGCUGCAACUGACAUUGAGGCUCGAAAGUGUGGGUAUCAAACAGGAUUAGAUACCCUGGUAGUCCACACGGUAAACGAUGAAUACUCGCUGUUUGCGAUAUACGGCAAGCGGCCAAGCGAAAGCGUUAAGUAUUCCACCUGGGGAGUACGCCGGCAACGGUGAAACUCAAAGGAAUUGACGGGGGCCCGCACAAGCGGAGGAACAUGUGGUUUAAUUCGAUGAUACGCGAGGAACCUUACCCGGGCUUAAAUUGCAGAUGAAUUACGGUGAAAGCCGUAAGCCGCAAGGCAUCUGUGAAGGUGCUGCAUGGUUGUCGUCAGCUCGUGCCGUGAGGUGUCGGCUUAAGUGCCAUAACGAGCGCAACCCUUGUUGUCAGUUACUAACAGGUUCUGCUGAGGACUCUGACAAGACUGCCAUCGUAAGAUGUGAGGAAGGUGGGGAUGACGUCAAAUCAGCACGGCCCUUACGUCCGGGGCUACACACGUGUUACAAUGGGGGGUACAGAGGGCCGCUACCACGCGAGUGGAUGCCAAUCCCAAAAACCUCUCUCAGUUCGGACUGGAGUCUGCAACCCGACUCCACGAAGCUGGAUUCGCUAGUAAUCGCGCAUCAGCCACGGCGCGGUGAAUACGUUCCCGGGCCUUGUACACACCGCCCGUCAAGCCAUGAAAGCCGGGGGUACCUGAAGUGCGUAACCGCGAGGAGCGCCCUAGGGUAAAACUGGUGACUGGGGCU
rnacentral:rRNA from 1 species